rnacentral:rRNA from 1 species
GACGUAGGGUGCAAGCGUUGUCCGGAUUUACUGGGCGUAAAGAGCGCGUAGGCGGUCUGUUAAGUGUAGAGUGAAAUCUCCAGGGCUCAACCCGGAAACUGCUCUGCAUACUGGCAGACUGGAGGGACUGAGAGGUGAAUGGAAUUCCUGGUGUAGCGGUGAAAUGCGUAGAUAUCAGGAGGAACACCGGUGGCGAAGGCGGGUCUCUGGGCCGUAACUGACGCUGAGGAGCGAAAGCAUGGGGAGCGAACAGG